GGCAAAUUUGGAAUCUUUGCCUCCGUAUGUUCCAUCCUAUUUGAAGGCAUCAUUAGGACAUCCAAGAUCCACCCGCCGCUGGCAUUUCUGCACUGUUUGUGGAGUUGCUUCCAAUUAUACAUGUGUUACAUGCGGGAUGCGCUUUUGUGCAGUCCAUUGCUAGACCAUACAUGAUGAUACUCAUUGUCUGAAAUUUGUUGCCUAAUU
rnacentral:misc_RNA from 1 species